GGCCUAGCCUCCCGCGAGCUAAGGCACAGUUUAACUUCGUGCCGCGGCUUCCUUAGGAAACUUUGAGUAUCUUCGUUUUAGCGUGGGAGGACAUCUUUUGGGAUGAACCGGCUCAGCCCUUGAGCUCACCCCAAAGAUGAUGAAAUUGAAAUUCAGAGGAAAGGAUUUUUACAGGACCACGCGGCGGGCUUUGAACCCGUUUUUCCCAACCCCGAGCAUUUUCUAUUAAGCGUUCUGUUUCAAUUAUUUUAUUCGUUCAGUUAAUUCAUUCUUGGCGUCGUAAGUAUAUGCCCGCCGUUGUUCUGGCCGUAGCUAUCUAGCAGCCACUCCGCGAGUCGUUCAUUUAACAAAUACUUAUUCUGUGUCAGGGAUAUGAAGAUGGGUAAUACCAGGUGCCUGUCCUCACUGUGUGAGUGGUUCUCUAGCCAGACGUGAGGAGGGAUCCUAUUGUUUCCCAUAGCCAGGCAGCCUAAGAGAGUAGGGGAAAGAGCUGGCUCCAGAUGAAAAGGGCACCAUCUCCAGCUCUUGGAAGCAGAGAGGGUGGUCCUUUGGAUUCCCAGUGGCAGCGGCAACCAACCUGGCCCUUAGUAGUUUCUAAGUUACACCAUGUUAAUGGAUAAAGGAAUUACUCAGCUUGAAGGGAUCUGUUUCCUUUACGCUGGCCUGAUGUGUGGGGAGAAAGGGGCCAAAAAGUUUGGGAUUUGGAGUUAACAUCGUAAUUUCUGCUUUGUUGGUCAGGAUUUACAGCGUUAAUGGACAGGUUCAGCCUGACCUGCAAGUCGGAACGUGACAUGGACAAACUGGCCCAUAUCGUCAGUUAUUACAUUAGUGACAUCGUGGAGCUGCCCUGUAUGCUUCCGUCCAUCAUUCUGAGAUUCACC
rnacentral:lncRNA from 1 species